CCGUCACUUCAUCCCUGUGAGCCGAGCUUUCUUCAGCAGCAAAACCAGGACCGCAGGUUAGAUGUUCCCAUAUGCCUCAGCCAGGAGGUCAAGGUCAACCUCACCAAGGUCAACAUCACCAACAUCAACAAGGUCUGCGAAGUCAUUGAAAACAAGGAAAGUCUAAGAAGACGUCGCAGCGAAGAGGAGCCUGAGGAGAUGUGACGACCAGUGUGUCCUGCAUGGGAUCCUCGAAAAGAAAGAGAAUAUUGGGUAGAAGGUGAUGCUGUCAACACUGGCAACGGGGAUCGCUUGCCAAAAUAAGACAGUCUGUGUUCCUGUGAACUCUGAAAUCCCCUGCGCAGGGUGGAAAGCACCAGAAUCCUGGGGAUUUUUCUAGAGUGGAUUUUGUUUUCAGCGAGAAAGAGUUGCAGCCAUACACAAGUGGUCAGAGGUGACCUGCAAAACCGGGAGCCCCUUUCUGAUCCCUCGGGUCAGCCAUCAGCGUGACCACCUGCCUUGGCCCAAAACGACAGGAUCCUCCACAGACAGCUUGGCAAGGCCACGGCCUGACCACUCACCACAUCCCCACCCGGCAUCCCUCCCCCACCUCACGGCCCCAGAGUCUGGGGUGGAACACGAGAGUUUGAGGUCCUCCGCCACCGUGUGAAAUCACAGUAAACAGCAGAUGUAUGUCUUAGUGGGGAAUCAGCUUACAAAACCAUGUGUACAAUAGAUGCCCAACUUUGUAAAUCUAUAACCACCUGUGUAGAAAUAGAGUCUGGAAGACCACAGAGAGCAGGUCCCCUAACCAGCGCCCAUGGAGUCGAGCCCACGUGCGGGGCUCCCGCUGUAGCUGUCUCCACUGGGGUCCAUGCUCUGCUGACCGUCCCACCUGGCGGCAGCUCCGGGAUCCCCCUGCCCCUCUGCACCCCUGACACACCUGCCAAGGUCAGCCUUGUUCACACAGCUGCUGAUGCUGCUGUGCAUAUAAUUGAUCCAUUUCAGUAACUGUUACAUCAACCAAUGAAAUCUUAAGUGCAAAAGGAGUUAUUCAUUCUGUGGAAACUAAGCUUUAGGAAACAUCGAUGCCUAUAAGUUGCUAAAAAAAAAAAUAAAAAAGCUUCAACUGAGUGAUGGGUUAAGGUAGCAGUAAACAAUUGUGGUAAACAUUCGUAACAUUCUAGAAAAAUCCUGUAUUUGGACUGUGAAUUUGGAAUGUAGAACUCCAGGCAGGAGCAAUACAAAAUGAAUGUACAUUUGCACCACUUGAGGUUAAAACAAAGUAUAAACCAUGAGCAGAAACCGCCAUUGUCCUUCUCCCUGUUUUUAAUGGCGCGUUCCU